CUAUUCUAUCAAGGAUCGGUAAUUGGGAAUAAGCUUCUCAUUUCAUCCUAAAGGAUUCUGUCACUCCACUGAAAUCUUAAGAGUCUCCAGUGCUUGUUAGGAAAGUGUGGAAGAUGAACCCCUUCUUCAUCCACAGAUGCUGAGAAUGCUAAUUAGAAGACAGGUAUCAGGAAGCCCACACAGAGACGGUUUUGGGAUUUUGUCAGCACUGGGCAAGUGGCUUAAGAUCUGCCCUGCCGGUGUUUGACACCCGAGUCUGAAGCUGGCACCUCAUCCAUUCCCUAGUCCUGCCUUUUUGCUCCCCGGGCUCCCUUUCCAGUGCCACCAUCGCCCUCUUUGCACUUCCCUCGCACUCCAUCUCAGAAGCAGACUUCAAGGAGAUCAAAAGAGGCUGCUCCUCAAGGAAGAGCAGGGGUCCUGCGGCUAGAAAGCGGGGGGCAGUCUCUGUCCACACUCAAAAAUCAAAGAAUUAGCCCGACUUAAUCAAACAAAAUAUUACUAUGUUUUCCGAACAACUUAUUCAGCUCAGAGUCAAGCAACUGUAAGUAACUAAUGACUUAUUUUUACAAUAAUCAAAUUUGUCUAAAUGCAACUUCUUUUAUCUCUCAAAUCUAGUUUGGGGAUUGAUAAAAUCCUCAUCUCUCCACCAGAUGCAAUAUAAAAUACUGGCUUC
rnacentral:lncRNA from 1 species